UUUCCGUAGGUGAACCUGCGGAAGGAUCAUUAUUGUAUAACCGAGGUGCGAGGGCUGUCGCUGACCCGAAAGGUCGUGCACGCCCGAGUGCCCUCACACACAUCCAUUUCACCCCUAUGUGCACCACCGCGUGGGUCCCCCUUUGGCUUGUUCGGAGGGGGGCUUACGUUUUCACACAAACUUUGUAUGCAGUGUAGAAUGUAUUUUUUGUUUUUGCGAUCACGCAAUCAAUACAACUUUCAACAACGGAUCUCUUGGCUCUCGCAUCGAUGAAAACGCAGC
rnacentral:misc_RNA from 1 species